AUUGAACGCUGGCGGCAGGCCUAACACAUGCAAGUCGAACGGUAACAGGAAGCAGCUUGCUGCUUCGCUGACGAGUGGCGGACGGGUGAGUAAUGUCUGGGAAGCUGCCUGAUGGAGGGGGAUAACUACUGGAAGCGGUAGCUAAUACCGCAUAAUGUCGCAAGACCAAAGAGGGGGACCUUCGGGCCUCUUGCCAUCGGAUGUGCCCAGAUGGGAUUAGCUUGUUGGUGGGGUAACGGCUCACCAAGGCGACGAUCCCUAGCUGGUCUGAGAGGAUGACCAGCCACACUGGGACUGAGACACGGUCCAGACUCCUACGGGAGGCAGCAGUGGGGAAUAUUGCACAAUGGGCGCAAGCCUGAUGCAGCCAUGCCGCGUGUAUGAAGAAGGCCUUCGGGUUGUAAAGUACUUUCAGCGGGGAGGAAGGGAGUAAAGUUAAUACCUUUGCUCAUUGACGUUACCCGCAGAAGAAGCACCGGCUAACUCCGUG
rnacentral:rRNA from 1 species